ACGGCGAGUGAAGCGGCAACAGCUCAAAUUUGAAAUCUGGCGUCUUUGGCGUCCGAGUUGUAAUUUGCAGAGGGCGCUUUGGCAUUGGCAGCGGUCCAAGUUCCUUGGAACAGGACGUCACAGAGGGUGAGAAUCCCGUACGUGGUCGCUAGCCUUUACCGUGUAAAGCCCCUUCGACGAGUCGAGUUGUUUGGGAAUGCAGCUCUAAAUGGGAGGUAAAUUUCUUCUAAAGCUAAAUACUGGCCAGAGACCGAUAGCGCACAAGUAGAGUGAUCGAAAGAUGAAAAGCACUUUGGAAAGAGAGUUAAAAAGCACGUGAAAUUGUUGAAAGGGAAGCGCUUGCAGCCAGACUUGCCUGUAGUUGCUCAUCCGGGUUUUUACCCGGUGCACUCUUCUAUAGGCAGGCCAGCAUCAGUUUGGGCGGUUGGAUAAAGGUCUCUGUCACGUACCUCCUCUCGGGGAGAACUUAUAGGGGAGACGUAAUGCAACCAGCCUGGACUGAGGUCCGCGCAUCUGCUAGGAUGCUGGCGUAAUGGCUGUAAGCGGCCCGUCUUGAAACACGGACCAAGGAGUCUAACAUCUAUGCGAGUGUUUGGGUGUCAAGCCCGAGCGCGUAAUGAAAGUGAACGGAGGUGGGAACCUUUCGGGGUGCACCAUCGACCGAUCCUGAUGUCUUCGGAUGGAUUUGAGUAAGAGCAUAGCUGUUGGGACCCGAAAGAUGGUGAACUAUGCUUGAAUAGGGUGAAGCCAGAGGAAACUCUGGUGGAGGCUCGCAGCGGUUCUGACGUGCAAAUCGAUCGUCAAAUUUGGGCAUAGGGGCGAAAGACUAAUCGAACUAUCUAGUAGCUGGUUCCUGCCGAAGUUUCCCUCAGGAUAGCAGUAACGUUUUCAGUUUUAUGAGGUAAAGCGAAUGAUUAGAGGCCUGGGGGUUGAAACAACCUUCACCUAUUCUCAAACUUUAAAUAUGUAAGAAGUCCUUGUUACUUAAUUGAACGUGGACAGUUGAAUGUAUCGUUACUAGUGGGCCAUUUUUGGUAAGCAGAACUGGCGAUGCGGGAUGAACCGAACGCGGGGUUAAGGUGCCAGAAUAUACGCUCAUCAGACACCACAAAAGGUGUUAGUUCAUCUAGACAGCAGGACGGUGGCCAUGGAAGUCGGAAUCCGCUAAGGAGUGUGUAACAACUCACCUGCCGAAUGAACUAGCCCUGAAAAUGGAUGGCGCUCAAGCGUAUUACCCAUACCCCGCCGCUGGGGCAAGAUUUAAGCCCCAGCGAGUAGGCAGGCGUGGAGGUCCGUGACGAA
rnacentral:rRNA from 1 species